rnacentral:tRNA from 1 species
UUAAUUAAAACCAAAAUAGAGGUAAAUUAUUGUUAAUAAUUUUAUUGAAUUUCUAUAUUCUAAUUAAC